GGGCUUAUGAUGCAAUGGAUAGCAUAAACGGCUUCGGACCGUUAUAUCUGGGUUCGAAUCCCAGUAGGCCCA
rnacentral:tRNA from 1 species